GGGGAUAUAGCAUAGUGGUUAUGCAAAAGGCUUUCAAACUUGGAGAUCCAAGUUCCCAGGUUCAAUCCCUGGCCAUCACCA
rnacentral:tRNA from 1 species